GACGAACGCUGGCGGCGUGCCUAAUACAUGCAAGUAGAACGCAGUUGCGAACGGGUGAGUAACGCGUAGGUAACUGCCUGGUAGCGGGGGAUAACUAUUGGAAAAGAUAGCUAAUACCGCAUACUACCAGAUGGAACUGCGUUGUAUUAGCUAGUGGGUGGGGUAACGGCGCACCAAGGCAACGAUACAUAGACGACCUGAGAGGGUGAUCGGCCACACUGGGACUGAGACACGGCCCAGACUCCUACGGGAGGCAGCAGUAGGGAAUAUUGGACAAGGGGCGAAAGCCUGAUCCAGCCAGGCCGCGUGUGUGAAGAAGGUCUUCGGAUUGUAAAGCACUUUAAGUUGGGAGGCGUUACCAACAGAAUAAGCACCGGCUAACUUCGUGCCAGCAGCCGCGGUAAUAC
rnacentral:rRNA from 1 species